AGAGCACCAGCAUUGGUAUUGAGCUGGCCCAGCAACAGUACCAGUCCAGCAUGCAGGAGAUCCAGUCAAGGACGACCCUUCCCCUCCCCUGGCCACUAACUCCUCACUUUUGACCUGCAGCCUCAAAGGAUCAGCAUCGUUGAACAAUUCUGUUCUGCAGGAAAUUCUCAGCACGUCAAGUUUUCACGGGCUGUUCUCAACAACCGCAAUGUCCUGGUCAAGUUUUCCACACUCAAGCCUGAGUAGUUUUGUUAAAUAUAAGCAGUAGAAAUGGUAAAACUAACAGCCAGUGUGCUCGCUCUGGGACAUCACAAAGAAUAUCACAGAAUACAAAGUUAAAUAAUUUGUUCCAUUCAUUAUGGGACCAACAGAAAUUUAGCAAGAAACAGGGCAAACAAUCAAGGAACAAUUGAAGCGAUUAAUUUAGAAGUGUAGGCUUUCCAAAGUAGAUACUUCUGCUGUUGAUAGUUAUGACAGUAAUAGCGUUACGGACGCCUCGGUUUGUCCUCUCAGGCGUGUAAACUGUCCAUAAAGAACACACUUCUGACGCUUUUGCUGACAAAGAAAGGCAGAAAUGACUUGGCUGUGAACACCCAGAGCACAAUACAUCCUUGGGGCAUGCCUCAGACGCAAAUUCCGCCAAAGAUUAUAAACAAGGCGCAAAAUGUGAACAUGUCUAGCUUUGUUACGAGCACUUCCCACUCCGAGCCCAUAGGCUAGAAUCGAGGCUAGAGAAGGCAUUGACAAAUGACAGCAGUUGUGUUGUGUGGUCCAGUAGGCCCUUCGACUCUCAACCCGACGUUAAUCAGAACUCAAACUCAGCCCUUAGCAAUAUCAGCUCAGCUCCUUCAGCCUCAGGAUUUGAUGCAAUCCUUGAUUGGUACCCAGCUUAACAACAGGCUCUUUGGUCAGCUGGUCCCAGACGCCCAGAGACACUUCCUGUGCAUCGGGGGUAGUUGGCUCUUGGCGCAGGACCUCGGGGCAAAUGCUCAAUGAAUCCUUCCCGCAGGGUGCAGCCAGUCUAAACCUGGGGUUUCAAACUUCCCUGCCUAAGGGCCGAGAUUAUAUCAUCCACAAGGCACACAUUUCUGGGAGGCGCUAAGACCAUUUUAUCUGUUCACAGAGUCUUAUACUCACAAGUUCAGGCCCAGAGAGAAAUAUCCCCAACUACAACUUUGCCCCUACAUCACAAUAGGAGAGCACCAGCUUUGAUAUUGUGUUGGCCCAACAACAGCACCAGUCCGGCAUGCAUGAGCCCCAGUCCAGGACAACCCUUCCCCUACCCUGAUCCAUAUCUCCUCCCCCAAGACCUCCAGCCUCAAAUUCUGAACACAUCCAGUUUUCUUGCACUGUUCUCAUCAACCGCAAUGUCCACGUUAAGUUAUCCACUGUCGAGCCCGAGUAGUUUUGUUUAGCUUGAGUGUCCGAGUGGGAAGAGUGUUACAGACACAAGGAGUUAUAUCAGUAGUUAUGGUAAUGCUCAAUCAACAGUCAGUUCUUGCUGUUGGACAUCACUGUGAAUAUCACGACGAAUGAGAAGUUGAAUAACUUGUUCCAUUCGUUAUGGGACAAACACAAAUUCAGCGAGGAACGGGACAAAAAAAUCAAGGAACAAUUGAAGCGAUUAAUGCAGAAGUGUAGGCUUUCCAAAGUAGAUACUUCUGCUGUUGAUAGUUAGGACAGUAGUAGUGUUACGGACCGUCUUGGUUUUGUCCUCUCAGGCGUCUAAACUGUCCAAAGGGAACAUAAAGCUUUUGACGCUGUUGCUGAUGAAGAAAGGCAGUAGUGACUUGGCUGUGAACACCAAGAGCACAAUACAUCAAUGGGGCAUGCCUCAGACGCAAAUUGCGCCCAAGAUUGUAAACAAGGUGCAAAAUGUUAACAUGUUUAGCUUUGUUAUGAGCACUUGGCACUUGUUUUGAAUCGAGAAUAGAAAUGGCUUUGAAAAAUGACAGCGGUUUUGUAAUGUCGUCCAGUACGCACUUCGACUCUCAACCGAGUUAGUCAGAACUCAAACUCGGGCCUUAGUAAUAUCAGCAAGUUGUAGAGACGAUCAAAGUGAAACAAUUUGUUCCAACAGAUAGAACAGGCGUUGAUUGACUCGUCCGUAAAUGUGACUGGCCUUAAUAUGUUGCUCUCGAAUAAUGUGAACCUCACCAGGAGAGCUGUCUGCAAUUGACGACAUUCAACAACAGUUGUUGUCGGGAAUUCCCGGGUUUGGGUUGGUGACAUAGGUGUCGAGACUCGCUUCAUCUCUGCAUAUGGCACGCUCGCAGCAACAGCAGCAGCAACAAGAACAGCAGUGGCUGCUGAGUCCGAGGAUGUGGUGGACAAGAAUGACCUGAAUAUGCAGAAGCAACUGCUCAGCACAGAAGACGACUGUCUGGUGAAAGGCUCAGCCGUAUCAAAGUUCAGUGAUGUUGGGGGACGUUGCUGUUCCAUGUCUGGGGAUCGCAUCAUGAAGGACAUUUUAGCUGACACUUACAAGGGAGAGAACUCUAGGUCUGCACCAAAAGAGAGAACCAGCAUUGAUAUCGAGUUUGAUACCAGUCUGCCUGAAGAAUCCCCAGUCCAGGACGAUCCUUGCCCCCCCCCUGACCCCUAGCUCCUCCACCCUGACCUCUGGCCUCAAAGGGUCAUCAUAGUUGAAUUCAAGCGCUGUACUCAACAACCGCAAUGUCUGUGUCGAGUUUUCAACACUCAAGACUGAGUAGUUUUGUUGAGCUCGAGUGCAAGAGUGGGACAGACACAAUGAGUUAUAGAAGUAGUUAUGGUAACACUAACAGUCAGUUCUUGCCGUAUGACAUCACAACGAAUAUCACGAAGAAUAAAAAGUUGAUUAAUUUGUUCCAUUCUUUAUGGGACAAACAUAAAUUCAGCGAGGAUCGGGAAAAAACCAAGGAAAUUUUUACAAUUGAAGCGAUUAAUUCACAUAAGUAAGCUUUCCAAGCAGAAUACUUUUGCUGUCUAUAGUUUGGACAGUAGUAGAUUUACAAACGCGCUUUUGAUGCUGUUGCUGACAAAGAAAGGCAGUAACUACUUCAUUGUGAACACCCAGAGCACGAUACACCCAUGGGGUUUGCCUAAAAUGUGAAUUCCGCCCAAUAUUGUAAACAAGGUGCUAAAAGUAAACACGUCCGGUUUUGUUACGAGCGCUUUGCACUCCAAGCCCAAAGCACAUAGAAUCAACGCCAGAAAAGGCUUAGAAAAUGACAGCAGUUUCGUUGUGUAAUCCAGUAAGGACUCUGAACGACAUUAAUGAGACCUCAAACUUGACCAUAGCACUCACAGCGAGGCCAUCAUGUUAUCUCAGCUUCUUGAGCUUCAGCAAACAUUAUUAGCCAACAAGAUGAAAACAUCAUUGAAGUGAAAGUCAAAAACAAUCCUGACUACCUUCGGGCACAAAUACUACAACUUGCUGAAGAAAUUCAGCACGAAUAUGUCUUGCGUCAGCCUAGCACGCCUCCUAUUAACUCUUCCAACAGCGGAGCCUUGAGCUAGUUCCUAGCAAUCAUAGAUCGGUACCCUGCUGAAAAACAGGAUCUCUGGUCAGCUGGGCCCAGAUGCCCAGCAACACUUCCUAGCCCAGGACCUUGGGGCAAAUGCUCAACAUGUCCUAUCUGCAUGGUGAAGCCAGUCGAAACCUUGGGCUCCAAACUUUCCUGCUGUGGAGCUGAGAUUACCUCAUCCAUAAGGGACACAUUUCUAGGAUGGGCUAAGGUCCUUUUAUCUGUUCACAGAGGGCUUAUACUCACAAGUUCAGGCCCAGAGAACGGUGUUCUCCAACUACAACACAACCAGUACGUCUCAACAGAGGACACCCUUCCUGAAAACAUCGCUGGGUGCAACUGCGCCAUACGUGACCCUUUAGUGAAAUGAGAUACCAGGCGGAAUGUCAAACCGUUACUACUCCGGUCUCCAGCAAUAGCCUCAGCCUUGGACGCAGGUUCAUGAUGCACCCAUGGCCUUACUUAUUUCUGAACAUCUCAAUCUCAAAGCAAUUGAUGUGAAUUAAUGAUAAUAAGACUCCACAAACCACGUUUUGGAGAGGGUAUAUUGGAGUCAAUUUUCUGUAAGUUGUUAAGUCAAAGCGGCAUUUUUUGCAUAUAUUAUAAAAAGAUUUGUAUCAAAUCUAAAUUUCUCAAAGGAUUAAAUUGGAACUUAAAUUGUGUUAAACCGUUGAACAGUAAGUGAUAAGUGGUGAUUUUGUUGCAUGCAAAGCCCCAUCGUUUCAUUGGCCAAGUCACUCUUUUACCCAGUAUUAUUUUACUUUCAGUAUCUCACUAUAAUGGGAAAUCAGAAGAUAUGAAACUUAUAUUCUACCGGUAAUCAGGGUUUUAACUAACAUUUUGCCCACAGUUGCGCUGUAACCUAUAUGCAAUUCUCGGUUUUAACUUACAUUGUGUCUAGUGCUGCAACAAUACGCCAAAAAACGUAUUGCAAUUUAUUGUCAGUUCAAAAACCCGUAUUGCAAUAUAUUGCAAUAUAUUGCUAACUUGUACCAAAAUUAUAACUUGCCAAUUACCCAAUAAUCCCGUAAAUUCCAGUUUUAAAGCAAAUUCUGGUAAAUAUUUACUAUAAAUGUGCUCAAGAAUAACAAGAAACACAAACAUUCACAAUUUUUCAUUUGUUACUAUAAAAGAUGUGAUGAAAUAACGUCCAACCGGGGCGUUUUUUCCACUGAACACACGUAAGUCACCUGACGUGAUGUUCCCGUGUUUAUACAACACAAAAUAUUGAGAUUUGUACGCGCUUUUUAUUGAGACAAAGGAUAAAGCACUUUUUAUUUGACGCUAGAAUUUUUUAUUGUCGCGUUAGCAUUAAAAUUUGGAAGCGUGUUUCCGAAGUUCGGAUUACAAAUUUAAUAGUGCUCAAUUCAAAAUCGAACGAAACAUUUACAGCUGUGCGCAAUUAAUUCAACAAUAAUCUGUUCAAAAGCAUCGAACGAAUGCUCCCAAUGUAACAACGCUACUCCGUAUAAUACACUUUUUAGAAUGCUAUUUUUACGUUUAAAAUAAUUUACACUGAUUUGUUUUGUUAACCUUGUUAUCAUUAUUUCGGAUGGCUUUUCUGGAUGAAAUGUGAAUGAAUUUUUGUAAAAUUUUCGUACAGGUAUGAUGAAAAUCAUAUUGCAAUACAAUAUGCGGAUUGCGUAUUGCGAUAUAUAGCAAUAUACCGGUAUAUUGUUGCAGCACUAAUUCUGUCCACAGUUUCGCAAAGUUGUUUGAAUAGUAGUGUCUAAAAACAAAUAAAGCAUAGUCACUUGCAUCCUGUGUAAUCAAUCAUGUUCAUGAAGGAGCCAUUGUGAAAUAUUAUGUUGCAUUUUGACAAAUUGCCAAGCAUAUUUCUUUAAGAUUAUCUUGUUAAGUGUUUGGCAGAACCAAGCCAUGUCGACGCAGCAGCAAAAACAACAGUAGCAGUCUAGUAAGCUGUCUUACAUGUUUGAGCUACCUAGUUGUAGCAGUUUUCAGCAACGUUGUCACAAUAUGGAUUGUUUUAAUAAAACCUAAUGGAGUUAUAGAGCAUAAUUACUGGUUCUGGUGUAAGAUCGUACUUUAUAACGCACUUUCAUCAACAACACUGAUGCAUAUGCAUGACAGCUAAUACAAGUAUAAAUGCACAAACUAAAGUAUGAAUUUCUUUAUAAUUUAAUUUAUUCGCAAACAUUAGUUUCAAAACAUAUUUAAGCAUAUCAAUAUUUGUAUGCCCCCCUUCGAAGAAGAGGGGGUAUAUUGCUUUGCACAUGUCUGGCGGUCGGUCCGUCCACCAGGUGGUUUCCGGAUGAUAGCUCAAGAACACUUGGGCCUAGGAUCAUGAAACUUCAUAGGUAGAUUAAUCAUGACUCGCAGAUGACCCCUAUUGAUUUUGAGGUCACUAGGUCAAAGGUCAAGGUCACGGUGACCCGGAAUAGUAAAAUGAUUUCCGCAUGAUAACUCAAGAACUCAUAUGCCUAGGAUCAUGAAACUUCAUAGGUAGAUUGAUCAUGACUCGCAGACCCCUAUUGAUUUUGAGGUCACUAGGUCAAAGGUCAAGGUCACAUUGACCCGAAAUGGUAAAAUGGUUUCCGGAUAAUAACUCAAGAACGAAUACGCCUAGGAUCAUGAAACUUCAUAGGUAGAUUGAUCAUGACUCGCAGAUGACCCCUUUUGAUUUUGAGGUCACUAGGUCAAGGUCACGUUGACCCGAAAUAGUAAAAUGGUUUCCGGAUAAUAACUCAAGAAUGCAUAUGCCUUGGAUCAUGAAACUCCAUAGGUAGAUUGAUCAUGACAUGCAGAUGACCCCUAUUGAUUUUGAGGUCACUCGGUCAAAGGUCAAGGUAACGGUGACCCAAAAUAGUAAAAUGGUUUUUGGAUGAUAACUCAAGAAGGCAUACGCCUAGGAUCAUGAAACUUCAUAGGUAGAUUGAUCAUGACUCGCAGAUGACCCCUUUCGAUUUUGAGGUCACUAGGUCAAAGGUCAAGGUCACGGUGACCCGAAAUAGUUAUAUGGUUUCCGGAUGAUAACACAAGAACGCUUACGCCUAGGAUCAUGAAACGUCAUAGGUACAUUGAUCAUGACUCGCAGAUAACCCAUAUUGAUUUUCAGGUCACUAGGUCAAAGGUCAAUGUCACGGUGACCCGAAACAGUAAAAUUGUUUCCGGAUGAUAACUCAAGAACGCUUUUGCCUAGGAUCAUGACACUUCAUAGGUACCUUGAUCAUGACUCGCAGAUGACCCCUAUUGAUUUUCAGGUCACUAGGUCAAAGGUCAAGGUCACAGUGACAAAAAACGUAUUCACACCAUGGCUGCCACUACAACGGACAGCCCAUAUGGGGGGCAUGCAUGUUUUACAAACAGCCCUUGUUUACUUUGCUUUAAUUUAUUGUUUGAUUUUUAUCACGUUGCCUCUCUUUUCCUAACCAGGUCAAGGGUCACCUCACAACGUUCAGUGCCUAGCGAUGAAAUCAUCCACCGUUACAUGUAGUUGAAAACCUGGGUAGCAGAGCAAUGAGUAUGUCCGAGGAGCAUUUGCAGUCAUCGUCUCCAGAUUAUGAGAUCCCCAUGCUCCACAACCCUCAGUCUAUGAACAUCAUGCAGAGCGAACCUUGGACGUACCUUGACGAAAUCAAACCAGCAAAUCAGAAGGACAGCCUGCUGCUACCGUUGUUAUCAUAUUAACCCCAUACCGAAAAAGCUCAGAGAUAUAAAGGCUGUUUAAGAUGUGCUUGUCUCUACAUACCCCGUGUCUGGUGUCAACAUGUACAAUUGAAUGUCUCUACAUACUCCAUGUCUGCUGUGAACAUGUACAAUUGAAGGUCUCUACAUACUCCAUGUCUGGUGUGAACAUGUACAAUUGAAGAUCUCUACAUACCCCAUGUCGGGUGUGAACAUGUACAAUUGAAGGUCUCUACAUACCCCAUGUCUGGUGUGAACAUGUACAAUUGAAGGUCUCUACAUACCCAAUGUCUGGUGUGUACAUGUACAAUUGAAGGUCUCUACAUACCCCAUGUCUGGUGUGAACAUGUACAAUUGAAGGUCUCUACAUACCCCAUGUCUGGUGUGAACAUGUACAAUUGAAGACCUCUACAUACUCCAUGUCUGGUGUGAACAUGUACAAUUGAAGGUCUCUGCAUACUCCAUGUCUGGUGUGAACAUGUACAAUUGAAGGUCUCUACAUACCCCAUGUCUGGUGAAAACAUGUACAAUUAAAGGUCUCUACAUACCUCAUGUCUGGUGUGAACAUGUACAAUUAAAGGUCUCUACAUACCCCAUGUCUGGUGUGAACAUGUACAAUUGAAGGUCUCUACAUACCCUAUGUCUGGUGUGAACAUGUACAAUUGAAGGUCUCUACAUACCCCAUGUCUGGUGUGAACAUGUACAAUUGAAGGUCUCUACAUACCCCAUGUCUGGUGUGAACAUGUACAAUUGAAUGGCUCAUCUUUGGAAUUGGGACACGUGGAAAAUUAGUGAUUUGAUUCAGACAGAAAUCGCAUAGUGACAAAUCACAACAAAAAAUGGAAAGCAAGAAAGUCUUGUGGCCAGCAAUGUUUUUAUGUGACCACUAAGUUGUGUUCAAAGAAAAACAAUAGUUCAUGUUUUAUUGGAACUAUGAUGCUGUCAGUCAUUUUAUGUUGAAGGCUUUAAAUAACUAUAUUUAAAUAUAAUAAGAUUAAGAUUACUUGAUAAAAGAAAUAAUGUUAUAUAGUAUUUUAAGCGCAAAAUUUACAAGUCUAUCCAAUUACUGUGUCUGUAUUAUGACAUUUUAUUUUGGAAAUGUUAAGGAAAAUAUAAUGUUAGUAAAUAUAUGUCUAUGAAUGUUGAUUUUGACAUUUGUCAAAGCUGUUUAAAUGAUGCUGGUAACUUCGACAAAAUUUAAAGAAAUGUAUUAUUUUCAUGUAAUGAGACGUGCUUCAGUUUUUUGUGGCUUAACCUGUAAUAUAGAGGUGGUAGUUACAAGAAUUGUUUAGCCAGAUGGAGAAUGUUUAUGCUAUGGCUUUGAUACUCUUAAGUGUGCCCAUUGGUGUCAGGUUUUUAUCAAGAAUAUUGUUUAUUGUCUAACAAUUUCUUAAAAAUAUUGAUUAAUUUUAGACAAAAUCAUUUAAUCUUCCUUAAAUUGUCUAUUCCGUAUUCACGACCAGUUAUUUAUUAAUUUGCAUGAAAAUGAUUUAUGAAUGACUUUUGUGUUGCUUAAAAUGCUUUAUUUGUUUUGGAACUGAGUAUUUAAAAACGAAAAUAUGAGGUGUAGGAAAAAUGGCCAAAGUUAUGAUAAUUAUUUUUUUGUUUUUGUAAAGUUUAUUAUGCUUUAUAUGUUUGUGUAUAGGCAUUUAGACGACCAGAUUAACUUGACCAAUAAUUCGUGCUCACUGUAUAUAUCGGUCAGUACAUUAGUCACUUGUAUAUAUAGCGAUUGUGAAAUGAUUGUAUUUGCGAUGUAAAUCAUGCGUUUAUUGUUGCCAUUUUGAUUUUCGAUGUUAACAUUUAUUUGUAAUAACAAUUUUCAUCAUGUACAUCUUUUAUAUGCCAGAUAAUAAAAACAAACAUUGCUUGUGGGAAUGCUCAUUUGAAACUUUCUUAAUGAUACAGAACAACACAUUCUGAAGAGGCAAAUAUCCUUUAGGCAAAAGGAACAUCUUGUUACUAGUAUAUGUACUGCUUUUCAUUAGAUAAAGUCAAGCAACUAUUGAAAGAUUGGUUUAACUUUGUUUUGCAUUAUCUUAAGAAAAAUUAAUAUAUUCUACUUGGAAAUCAGUCAAUUGCAAAUCAAGUGAGAGUGAUUUAACAUGCUAACACUUGUCAAUAAUUGAAUUGUCUCUCUUUGUACAUAAAUAUAGGGAUGUUGUUGCUUGAAAAACAAAGUUGUAUCCGUUGUUAGAUAAUGCUUUUGUUCAUCUCUCAACAUAACAAGUACAUUCAUUUGUUCAUCUCUCAACAUAACAAGUACAUUCAUACAGUUAUUAAAAAUAUGACACUCUUAAUUCUCAGCCAUCAGUUUGUAUUGGGAUGUUGUGGAAUACUUACUAAACUAAUAUACGUCUGUUUAAUGAAUGAAUAGCUUUGGUACAAUAUGAUACUCAGUGUUACAAAACAUGUGUAAUAAAAAUAUAAUGUCAUUUAUUUGAAAUCAUAAAAUUUAGUUGUCCAUACAAUGCUUACAGUUUUGCAAUUGCGAUGAUAAAGGAAAUGUUCUGCUCAAAAAUGUCUUUUUAAGACAUGUGAAAAUUGUAGCAAUCAUAUUGUACUUGUAUUUAUAUUAUACAUUAUAAGAAUUUACUUACAGCUGAUGAUAGCGGCAGUUUACUAUUUGUGUUACAGUUUGUUUCACUCGACCAUCAGACCAUAUUUCCUUAAAAAUGUGAUUGUUAAUAUUGAACUGUAAUUGAAUGCAUGAAACAUGACUGUUCUGUUGCUUAACAGCUGAAAAUAGCUUGAUGUUUGUAAAACUGUAUGAAAUGUUUCAAAUAAAUCAUUUUGAUUACAUAAAAAAAUAAAAUUACAUUUUGCGUUACUUUGAAUGCAUAACAAACAAUUGUUACCAUACAACCAUAUUAGUAUUGAACUUAAUUAAUACUUUAACUUUAAGAUGCAAUUUUUACAAUAAUGUGUUAAUAUUUUCAUCCAUUCCAAAUAAGCAUUGUGCAUUCGUAAAUAUAGGGUGUAUAUACACUGCUUAGAUGCCUUUUUUAAAUUGCUUGUGUACGUUAUAUUGAUUAAAGACUCUUAUGUAUUGCA